AAAUCGUUGCUGGGUUGAACAUAAACAUUUUUUAGAAACUUAGAAUAAACUAAGUGAAACUUUAGAGCUAUGUUCGACCUAUCUAAGAUUA